UGAGUAACACGUAUCCAACCUGCCGUCUACUCUUGGACAGCCUUCUGAAAGGAAGAUUAAUACAAGAUGGCAUCAUGAGUCCGCAUGUUCACAUGAUUAAAGGUAUUCCGGUAGACGAUGGGGAUGCGUUCCAUUAGAUAGUAGGCGAGGUAACGGCCCACCUAGUCUUCGAUGGAUAGGGGUUCUGAGAGGAAGGUCCCCCACAUUGGAACUGAGACACGGUCCAA
rnacentral:rRNA from 1 species